UGGGGAAUAUUGCGCAAUGGGCGAAAGCCUGACGCAGCGACGCCGCGUGAGGGAUGAAGGUUUUCGGAUCGUAAACCUCUGUCAGAAGGGAAGAAACCGCACUGUGCUAAUCAGCAGUGCCUUGACGGUACCUUCAAAGGAAGCACCGGCUAACUCCGUGCCAGCAGCCGCGGUAAUACGGAGGGUGCAAGCGUUAAUCGGAAUUACUGGGCGUAAAGCGCACGUAGGCUGCUUUGUAAGUCAGGGGUGAAAUCCCACGGCUCAACCGUGGAACUGCCUUUGAUACUGCUUAGCUUGAAUCCGGGAGAGGGUGGCGGAAUUCCAGGUGUAGGAGUGAAAUCCGUAGAUAUCUGGAGGAACAUCAGUGGCGAAGGCGGCCACCUGGACCGGUAUUGACGCUGAGGUGAGAAAGCGUGGGGAGCAAACAGG
rnacentral:rRNA from 1 species